UCUGAUGUUCAGCCAUCAGUCCCCUAUCGGGACGUGCGCUGGGGGUAACCCCGGGGUGCGGAGCUCCCGAGACAACGUAGCCGCCGUCCUCGGACGGGUCACCAAACCGCGAGGCCAGGUGAUGACUGCCAGCCCCAAGGCGAUCAGGAGC
rfam:Thioalkalivibrio nitratireducens DSM 14787, complete genome.